rnacentral:lncRNA from 1 species
CAAUCCAUCAUUUACUUGUACAAUACAUAAUUUUCAAAAUAAAUAUGCAGUGCAAAAUAGCAAAUAGCCUUCCUCAAAACACAGAGGCAGCCUAAAAGAUUUACUUACUUUUAGAGGGAAAAAAUACUAACUCAUGGGCAAUAUAAGAGAUGAAUUUUAUGGAAGCACAAGUUAGAUUAACGGUGGAGAAUGUAUCCCAACCAUCAGUCUGGCUCCGAGUUCGUGUUGUUAAAUAGUGCUGCCAUUGACAUCAACUUUGUCUCCAAAAUGAGGAAGACUAUCAUUGCAAAACUCCGUCACUGACCUGUGAUACAGACUCAGAACCGUUCAUCUACAGAAGCCUUCCCCAAGAACCAGUCACGCUUGUCCACCACAGCCAAGAUGAGAUUACCUGUUACGCCUACUUCUUUUAUGGCUUGUAAAGGCAGUUUCUAUUAUUCUGAUUUUACAAACUCAGACCCAAAGAACCUGAGUAACUUGCUCAUCAUCGCCAAACCCGACUAGGUCAAUAAAUCAAACUCAAAGGUGAGGCUUUGCCCACACCAAGAAAGAGUAAUUCAAGAAACGAUGCCCUGAUUCUGUUAAAAU